rnacentral:rRNA from 1 species
CCUACGGGGGGCAGCAGUGAGGAAUAUUUGUCAAUGGACGAGAGUCUGAACCAGCCAAGUAGCGUGAAGGAUGACUGCCCUAUGGGUUGUAAACUUCUUUUAUAAAGGAAUAAAACGAGGCACGUGUGCCUUUUUGCAUGUACUUUAUGAAUAAGGAUCGGCUAACUCCGUGCCAGCAGCCGCGGUAAUACGGAGGAUCCGAGCGUUAUCCGGAUUUAGUGGGUUUAAAGGGAGCGUAGAUGGGUUGUUAAGUCAGUUGUGAAAGUUUGCGGCUCAACCGUAAAAAUGCAAUUGAUACUGGCAGUCUUGAGUACAGUUGAGGUAGGCGGAAUUCGUGGUGUAGCGGUGAAAUGCUUAGAUAUCACGAAGAACCCCGAUUGCGAAGGCAGCUUACUAAACUGUGACUGACAUUGAUGCUCGAAAGUGUGGGUAUCAAACAGGAUUAGAUACCCCUGUAGUC